AAAAAAAAUUAUUUCGGGUGCAGGCGUGCAGUUUCAGGGUUGCUGAAGGUGAACUCCGAACUCCACCGAGUCAGGUGGGAAGUUUUAUGCUGUGAUCAUCGUUAAGGUCACCUUAACCACUGAGCACUAAAGUUUCAUUUGCUCAUGUUUCCCAGGGAAAGUGUGACAAAGGGAGAAGGUUCCCUGCGAAAGGCCGGGAGCAAAACUUGAUGUCUGCCUGCAGCCAGGAUGGCCGGGCCGGAGAGGCAGUCAAUGCGAUCCUAAAAUAGUGGAUGUGGAGAAUAAUUCAAAAAGCCAGGCUAUUUCCAAAUAAAAAAAAAAAAAAAAAAAGGAAGAGAACAUUUUAAUUUCAUGCUAUUACGUGCGGUAACAGAUGAGCUUUAGGAUUUAACUUGAAAAGGGCUUCUUUAUUCUUAUCUGCGGAGUUAAGGAAACAUGAAUGGAAAAAAAUCAUUCACACUCCAAAAAAAGCUAUAAAUUUCUCUCGAAGGCUGGGACAGUUCCGUGUUUAAAAGACGGAGAGUGAGUUGCAGGAGGAAAGCCUCGUUUAACUUCCUAAACGUUGUUUCUAAGACCCCAAAGCGUAAAAAUCAGGACGCAAGGAAACUCCCACCGCAGGUGCGUUCCUGGACAGACCUAAGCCCCAAAGCCAAAUGAGGAAGGACACAAUUCUCCCAUUUCUUUUUUUUUUUUUUUUAACAUUUAUUUAUUGGACAGAUCGCUCACAAAUGUUGGGCAGGGCCAGAAGGAGAAGCAGAAGCAGACUUCCCGCUGAGCAGAGAGCUGGACGUGGGACUCGAUCCCAGGACCCUGGAGUUAGGACCGAGCCAAAGACAGAGGCUUCACUGACCAAGCUACCCAGUUAUCCCUCAAGUCUCGCAUUUUCUAAGGGACUGAGCAAUGACAACGUCCCGUGGUAGUCAAGAAAAUCCUUACCGUAAUGCUACUUUCUGUAAAACUCCCAAGAUGCUACCUUAGGGAAGGAACAGGAUAGGGGACAAGCAGCACGAUCCCUAAGACACGGAAUUCAAUCAUCCCCUGUCUUAGUUGGCCCUCGAACAGACUUCCGGAAUAAAACGUAUCCAGCCCCACCGUGGUCCUUUCUAGGCUUCUGCGUCCCACAGGGUGGCCCUGUUAGCCUCCAUGUUCCCUGAGUCAAAACAGGACUUCGCGGUCCGUGGGGCAGCUGGGGUGGGGGGGACUCCAUUGCAGAAGCAUCUGACUCCGGCGUGCGUCGUGAUCUCAGGGUCCUGGGAUGAGUCCCGUGUUGGGAUGAGUUUCCUCCUCCCUGUGGGUCUGCCUGCUGCUCCCCCUGCUUGUGCUCUCUGCCAAAUUAAAAAGCAAAAACAAAAACAAAAGCAAACAAACAAACAAACAAACAAAGUUUCUGCACUUCUGCGCUCAUCACUGUUGGGUCGACCAUCCAAAUACCGUCCGAUUCUCUCUCCUUAUCCCAAGAUGCACGACUCCCAUAUUGCCCAAGUAGCAUUCCUUUGUCUGAAACUAUGGCAAACAACCCCACAGUAGCCUAUUUAUUCCCACCAACGCCGUCCUCACCACCAGAUCUCUCCCUACUCCUUCCACAGGACGUCCUGAAUGCCUCACCAGUCCCACCAGCCCGUGAUUUUCACCAGGCACGUCAUGUUUCCUUCACCCCACGUUUUCUCCUCCCAUACAGAUGGGACCGUGACCCGUUUGACCACGGAUCCCUGGCACGCGGUCCAGGCUGAGGUCACGAGUGUCGAAGUCAUGGGAAUAUUAUGACGUCCGACGGCGCAACAGCGGCGACACGGUACCCGGGGUUGCAGUCAUCAGAUUUUCCAUCCUGGGCGUCGGAACGUUGUCUCAACUUGAAAAUGGUCUUUGUUUCCAUCUUUCUGAAAUGACGUGUUAAAAAAAAAA